UUUAAUUUUGAGGUUUGGGGUUUAAUUUGUAUUUGUUGGAUUCUAUGAGGGGCCUUGGUGUGAUUUACAUGGAGAAUUGUUAUUCGUUUGGAGUAUAAGUUGAGAGGAGAGGUGACCACAUGGGAUUUCUUCCUAAGUGACUAAAUAGCCAUCAGGAGGAUAUUUCCUCAUUCUCCCCAAUUCUGCCGACAUAGCGAGAGAGAGAGGGGGAGAGAAAGGGAGGUGGAGGUCACGGCUAAGGGGAGGGAGGAAGGAGAGGUCCGUUUUCGACGAUCCAACUCGGUGACAAGUAACAAGCCGGUCUUUUAGGAGGUGCCGAAACCAUAAGUUUGGCAUACUCCAGUCGAAUGAAAGGUAGCAGGUGGCUUAGAAUGGGUCCACUACUGGUCAACGCUUUGGAGAGUGUUGAGACUAGCGUCGGGUAAUGUCUUUGGUUAGAUUGUUGCGUAGCUGAUUCGUCUAGAAGCUAACCUAAAUGUUAUGUAAUUAAUUGGAGAGAGGGGUAUUUAUUAUAACUUGUGAGUUGAGGUUUUGGCGUUGAUUUGGUUGUAUUUUAAGUGAGAAGUCUUCCGCUAAAUUGUAUUCUGAUUGGUUGUAGAGUGUGGUGUGGUCUAUUGUGUGGAAUGCCACGUGGCCGCGCUGACUCGGGCCCACUCUGGGUGCCGUUUGCGGGGCGGGGCGUGACAUCUACCCAGCAACACAUCAUGUGCAAACUCUGCAACAGAAACAACUUCAACAGGAUUUACAAUCAAGUUCUCUAGUUUAGGCGACUUAA